rnacentral:rRNA from 1 species
CCUACGUGUGGCAGCAGUGAGGAAUAUUGGUCAAUGGCCGGAAGGCUGAACCAGCCAAGUCGCGUGAGGGACGACUGCCCUAUGGGUUGUAAACCUCUUUUAUAAGGGAGGAAUAAAUGCUACGUGUAGCAUGAUGCCUGUACCUUAUGAAUAAGCAUCGGCUAACUCCGUGCCAGCAGCCGCGGUAAUACGGAGGCUGCGAUCGUUAUCAGGCUUUAUGGGGUUUAAAGGGUGUGUAGGCGGGCUGUUAAGUCAGCGGUAAAAGCCCGGGGCUCAACCCCGGCGAGCCGUUGAAACUGGCUGUCUUGAGAUGUCGAGAGGUAUGCGGAAUGCGCAGUGUAGCGGUGAAAUGCUUAGAUAUUGCGCAGAACUCCGAUUGCGAAGGCAGCAUACCGGCGGCGAUCUGACGCUGAGGCACGAAAGCGUGGGUAUCGAACAGGAUUAGAUACCCCAGUAGUC